GUCAAGAAAGCAGAAACUGAACUUAAGCAAGCUCUGUGGCUAACUUCUGUGUACGAGAAAUAUGAGGAAUAGAAGAACAAAUUAGGUGGCAGCCCCAGAAAAAAAACAAAUUCAAAACAUGGCAUGUUCUGUACGACAACUGACCCAGUUUCUGAAACAAGUAAACUGAGGUGGAAUUUCCUGUCUUCAAAUAAUACACCAUCCUGAAGAAUUCUAACAUUUGUACCCAGGCAACACAUCACAACAACAAUUUUACAAAUAAGAAGACUGUGUUCAAGAGAGGCCUUUUUGGCAAUUCACAGGAGAAAUAAAAAUGUAACUUCCAG
rnacentral:lncRNA from 1 species